rnacentral:misc_RNA from 1 species
GAAAUGCGAUACUUGGUGUGAAUUGCAGAAUCCCGUGAACCAUCGAGUCUUUGAACGCAAGUUGCGCCUGAAGCCGUUAGGCUAAAGGCACGUCUGCCUGGGCGUCACGCAUCGCGUCACCACACUCCCAAUUCUGGUGAGUGGGGUGGAAUGUGACCUCCUGUUCCUAACGGUGCAGUUGGUCGAAAUUUUAGUCCGGAGCUUAGGACUUCACGACAAGUGGUGGUUGGAAAACAACUCUCGUCAUGUCGUGUGCCAAACCUUUGCGACUCUCAAGACCCUAAUGUGUGCUUGUUUUCCAUCCUCUUUUGUGUGGGAAGCUCGUGCUACGACCGCGACCCCAGGUCAGGCGGGAUUACCCGCUGAAUUUAA